AACGAACGCUGGCGGCAUGCCUAACACAUGCAAGUCGAACGAUGCUUUCGGGCAUAGUGGCGCACGGGUGCGUAACGCGUGGGAAUCUGCCCUUGGGUUCGGAAUAACAGUGAGAAAUUGCUGCUAAUACCGGAUGAUGUCUUCGGACCAAAGAUUUAUCGCCCAGGGAUGAGCCCGCGUAGGAUUAGCUAGUUGGUGGGGUAAUGGCCUACCAAGGCGACGAUCCUUAGCUGGUCUGAGAGGAUGAUCAGCCACACUGGGACUGAGACACGGCCCAGACUCCUACGGGAGGCAGCAGUGGGGAAUAUUGGACAAUGGGCGCAAGCCUGGUCCAGCAAUGCCGCGUGAGUGAUGAAGGCCUUAGGGUUGUAAAGCUCUUUUACCCGGGAUGAUAAUGACAGUACCGGGAGAAUAAGCUCCGGCUAACUCCGUG
rnacentral:rRNA from 1 species